rnacentral:rRNA from 1 species
UACGGGGGGUGCGAGCGUUGUCCGGAAUUACUGGGCGUAAAGCGCGCGCAGGCGGCUAUCCAAGUCAGUGGUGAAAGCCCGGAGCUCAACUCCGGAACUGCCAUUGAAACUGUUUAGCUGGAGUAUGAGAGAGGUGAGUGGAAUUCCCAGUGUAGAGGUGAAAUUCGUAGAUAUUGGGAAGAACACCGGUGGCGAAGGCGGCUCACUGGCUCAUUACUGACGCUCAUGCGCGAAAGCGUGGGGAUCAAACAGG